rnacentral:misc_RNA from 1 species
AAGUCGUAACAAGGUUUCCGUAGGUGAACCUGCGGAAGGAUCAUUAAAGAAUUGAAUGGGGAAUACAAUCGAGACUUUGUUUCGUUGUGUUUUCCUUUAUAUUCAUGCUCGCACUACAUGUUUCGAUGUGUAGUGUUUCUAUUUAGAAUCAUUUUUUGUUUAUUAUUAGUUUUAUAUUUCUUAUUGCUUUGUUUUUCGAAACUAAGUUGUAAAAAAAACAAUUAACAACUUUCAGCAACGGAUCUCUUGGCUCUC